UAGACCUGGAUCACAUACAGCAGCUGAGAGGAGCCUCACAAGCAAGUCUUGUACUUCACCCAUGCUGUCCCCUAUAUUUAGCAAUCCCUCUUGAAGAACACUCAGGUUCCCACUGGUAGCAAUCCUGGAGGCUCACUGUAUGACACACCUGUGUGGAGAAGACAGCAUAGCCCCUUUGAAGUUACUGCUUGGAUGAUUAAUGACGAUGAAGCAACAACAAAGCCAAGACGGGCAUGUACACUAGGGGAAAUCAGAACAAAACACCCCCAAAUACAUGAAGUUAAAAUAAUUAAAAGCAGCUAAUUUUAUUAUUGGCUGUGCAUGCAAAACAGGUCUCAAAGUCAUGCAACAGCACCACUACAACUUGCAAAUAAUGUCAGACUUGAAAUGAAGCUACAUGUCUCACAAGGGGCAACUUUUAAGUAAUCCUGAAAGCAUUAAGAAGCAAUGAAGGCAAAUCUUAUUUUGUAUAACUUGAAUUUAAUUUUCUACUAAUAUUUUACAUGUUUAAGAAAAACAAGCUUUUAUUAAAAUUUGAACAUUCGAGCAAUAUACUUCAUUGACUGAUACAUUAAUUUAAAAAUUCUGAAAAUUGUUCAAGAUAUCAACUUAUACAAAGUCUACCAGGAUAUUAAAGUACUUACACAAAU
rnacentral:lncRNA from 1 species